AUUUUUUAACAUGGUCAUAGAUUAGGAAAUAUAUAUUGUAAGCAUCAACUAAAAGGAAAAAUAUAGUGUAGUGUUUUGUAAAGCAAAGAGCUAUUUUAUUCUAUUUAAAGAUUGAUUGAUUCAUAGAGACAGAGUGUGCAUGCAAGUGCGUGCACGCGAGUGGAGGUAAGGCAGAGGGAAAGAGAAAGAGAAACCCAAGCAGACUCCCUGCUGAACUCAGGGCUUGAUCUCGGGAAAUCUGAGCCAAAAUCAAGAGUGGGACACUCAGCCGACUGAGCCACCCAGGUGCCCCACAAAGAACUAUUUUAUAAGCAAAGAACCCUCACCGAAUUUACUGGCAAACUAUGAACUUGCUCCAGUUGUUUCAUAUUAGGGGGGUUCAGUUCCCUCAUCUGUAAAAUGAUGUGUCUUUACAUCAUUCUAGAUGUAUCUCUAAGGUUACUCCCAUUCAGUGGUUCUGUGUGCUAUUCUGAACACUAUUCUAGAUUUGAAAAGGAAACAAUGAGCAAGUUCUUCUCUCUCCACUUUUUUUAAUUUGAAAGUUUUUUGUUGUGGAAUCUGUGUUAGCCAAAUUGUUUAUUGGAAGUGACUAAAAUGAAACUCAAAUGCUUAUGUAUGUGUGUGUUUGAGUGUGCAUAAAGUUCAUGUAAGGAAAUUAUGAGAUGGACAGGAUUGGGGCUGGCCAUAUAGGAUGAUGGAAAUUCUUUAAGGACUCUGUCUCACUUCUCAUUCUUUCUACAUGUCAACUUUAUCCUGCAGGUGGCAGGGGAGGAUAUGGUUGCCAGUCUCUCUGGGGACAUAUUCUUAUAGCUCUUGGCAAGAAAAGAAAAAGGAACCCAAGAAGAACUAUGAAUGGACUGACUUACAGGACACAGCUGUCCUGACCCAGCACUGUGGCCAGGUGUAUGAGAUAAGCACAGUCUACAUUCCCAGUUUUGCCUUUCCCUUCAGUGCUGGGAGAAGAGAGAAGAGAAAAGAAAACAGGAAAAGGAGACAAGAGCUCACAUUCAUGGUCCUAGAAUGCUGGAACUUGGAAGACUCCACAUUAAGCCUUCUUUGCAGUAACUGGUGAGGAAACACUGAGACCCAAAGAGCCAAGUCAUCCUUGGGGUCAUAGACUGGGAGAACUAUGCCCUUGGUGAAACUAUUUUCAAAACUACGAAUGAGCCUCUCCAUGGAAAGGAAAAGACUCACCUAUCAAUGAGAAGAGUAUCAAGGUCGCAUUAUUUGAGAAAGAUGUGGACUGGGGAUGUCACUGUGGCUGACUACAGAAUACUAUCUACCAAACAAGAUUCUAGUCCCAGUUCUAUGAUUGAACCAGUAAAUGUUGAGAUUUAGUCAUUUGAAGGUCUCACUGUGUCUAGUCAUCCUGGUUAUACACUUUUUCUAAU
rnacentral:lncRNA from 12 species